GUGCUCACUUCGGCAGCACACAUACUAAAACUGGAACGAUACAGAGAUUAGCAAGGCCCCUGAGCAAGGGUGACAUGCAAAAACUGCACAGAUUGUU
ensembl:snRNA U6 U6 spliceosomal RNA